GACAAUCUUAUCAGUUCAUUUAAAUUAGUUUAAUAGUGAAGCGAAGUAAGCAAAAAUAAAAUUGAAAUAAUAUAAUAGUGUUGUAGUGACGCCUUUAUAGCAGACAUUCCAGAAAGCUUAUCCACGCAUGCGCAGGGACUAGUUCCGGAAGGAAUACAGGAAGAGUCUCGUGCGCAUGCGUGGUCAUUCGACAUCCAAGUUUCGCGCCCUUAUUCAUUCUCUUUUCUCGCCGGCCGGCGAAGGGCCCAGACUACAAGCAUCGCCCCCGACGUCGCCAACAGCAACACGACUCUACGUACUACCAGCAUUCCCAACAUCGUCAACAUGACUUCUACACGUACACAAGCAACCAACAUCAACAAGCGCGGUUUUAUCUCGACCCUGUUAGAGUGGAUGUUUCCACUCACGAUCAACAGACCAGCCAGAAUAUUCAGUACCAGACGAAGGGCCCAGACGUACAAGCAGUCCCUCUCCAACGUUCCUUCUCUGGAGACAGCUCUCUCCAACAUUCCAGCUCUGGAGCUAGACAAAUAACCACCCAACAUCAUUGACGGCGUCUCUGCAACCAAAGGGCGAAGUGCUGCCUAUUUCCUCUGUAAAUAAAUAUUGUGUUGAUAGUUCAGAA